rnacentral:tRNA from 1 species
GCCCAGCUAGCUCAGUUGAUAGAGCAUGAGGCUCUUAAUCUCAGGGUUGUGGGUUCAUGCCCCACAUUGGGCG